rnacentral:rRNA from 1 species
CCUACGGGAGGCAGCAGUGAGGAAUAUUGGUCAAUGGACGAGAGUCUGAACCAGCCAAGUAGCGUGAAGGAUGACUGCCCUACGGGUUUUAAACUUCUUUUAUAUGGGAAUAAAAUGUUCCACGUGUGGGAUUUUGUAUGUACCAUAUGAACAAGGAUCGGCUAACUCCGUGCCAGCAGCCGCGGUAAUACGGAGGAUCCGAGCGUUAUCCGGAUUUAUUGGGUUUAAAGGGAGCGUCGGUGGAGUGUUAAGUCAGUUGUGAAAGUGUGCGGCUCAACCGUAAAAUUGCAGUUGAAACUGGCAGUCUUGAGUACAGUAGAGGUGGGCGGAAUUCGUGGUGUAGCGGUGAAAUGCUUAGAGAUCACGAAGAACGCCGAUUGCGAAGGCAGCUCACUGGACUGCAACUGACACUGAGGCUCGAAAGUGUGGGUAUCAAACAGGAUUAGAUACCCGUGUAGUC